AGAGUUUGAUCAUGGCUCAGAACGAACGCUGGCGGCAUGCCUAACACAUGCAAGUCGAACGAGACCUUCGGGUCUAGUGGCGCACGGGUGCGUAACGCGUGGGAAUCUGCCCUUGGGUUCGGAAUAACAGCGAGAAAUUGUUGCUAAUACCGGAUGAUGACGUAAGUCCAAAGAUUUAUCGCCCAAGGAUGAGCCCGCGUAGGAUUAGCUAGUUGGUGAGGUAAAGGCUCACCAAGGCGACGAUCCUUAGCUGGUCUGAGAGGAUGAUCAGCCACACUGGGACUGAGACACGGCCCAGACUCCUACGGGAGGCAGCAGUGGGGAAUAUUGGACAAUGGGCGAAAGCCUGAUCCAGCAAUGCCGCGUGAGUGAUGAAGGCCUUAGGGUUGUAAAGCUCUUUUACCCGGGAUGAUAAUGACAGUACCGGGAGAAUAAGCUCCGGCUAACUCCGUG
rnacentral:rRNA from 1 species